AACAGGAUUAGAUACCCUGGUAGUCCACGCCCUAAACGAUGUCUACUAGUUGUUGGUGGAGUAAAAUCCAUGAGUAACGCAGCUAACGCGUGAAGUAGACCGCCUGGGGAGUACGGUCGCAAGAUUAAAACUCAAAUGAAUUGACGGGGGCCCGCACAAGCGGUGGAUUAUGUGGAUUAAUUCGAUGCAACGCGAAAAACCUUACCUGGCCUUGACAUGUACCGAAUUUGGGAGAGAUUCCUUAGUGCUCGAAAGAGAACGGUAACACAGGUGCUGCAUGGCUGUCGUCAGCUCGUGUCGUGAGAUGUUGGGUUAAGUCCCGCAACGAGCGCAACCCUUGCCAUUAAUUGCCAUCAUUUAGUUGGGCACUUUAAUGGGACUGCCGGUGACAAACCGGAGGAAGGUGGGGAUGACGUCAAGUCCUCAUGGCCCUUAUGGCCAGGGCUUCACACGUAAUACAAUGGUCGGUACAGAGGGUUGCCAACCCGCGAGGGGGAGCCAAUCCCAGAAAGCCGAUCGUAGUCCGGAUUGUAGUCUGCAACUCGACUACAUGAAGUCGGAAUCGCUAGUAAUCGCGGAUCAGCAUGUCGCGGUGAAUACGUUCCCGGGCCUUGUACACACCGCCCGUCACACCAUGGGAGUGGGUUUUACCAGAAGUAGGUAGUCUAACCUUCGGGAGGACGCUUACCACGGUAGUAUUCAUGACUGGGGUGAAGUCGUAACAAGGUAACC
rnacentral:rRNA from 1 species